GCGAAACCAACGAGGGGAGAAUUAUAGCCACCUUUAACCCAAAAUAACGAUCAAACACGGUUCUUCAGACUCUUCCAAAAGGUGGGCGUAAAAAGUGAGCAUCAUUAGCGUAAAUCUGACACCUUCUCGCCAUUUUAGCUAUGUACGUACCCAUUUCACCUCGAAAUAAACCAUUUGCAUUUUUCGUUACCAAAAUUGUAGAAUUUUUGGAUAAUAUUAAUAAAAAAUUUAAAAUAUUGCACAA